AGAGUUUGAUCCUGGCUCAGAACUAACGCUGGCGGCGUGCCUAACACAUGCAAGUCGUACGAGAAAGUUGGCUUCGGCCGAUGAGUAAAGUGGCGCACGGGUGAGUAAUGCGUGGAUAAUCUGCCCUUUAGUUGGGAAUAACGUACCGAAAGGUGCGCUAAUACCUGAUAAUACUGCAUAACUACUGUUGUGUAGUCAAAGAAGGCCUCUGUUUACAAGCUUUUGCUGAAGGAUGAGUCCGCGUACCAUUAGCUGGUUGGUGGGGUAAUGGCCUACCAAGGCUACGAUGGUUAGCUGGUCUGAGAGGAUGAUCAGCCACACUGGAACUGAGACACGGUCCAGACUCCUACGGGAGGCAGCAGUGAGGAAUAUUGCGCAAUGGGGGCAACCCUGACGCAGCAACGCCGCGUGAGUGAGGAAGGUUUUCGGACCGUAAAGCUCUGUCGAGCGGGAAGAAAUGUAUCAUGGCUAAUAUCCAUGAUACUUGACGGUACCGCUAAAGGAAGCACCGGCUAACUCCGUGCCAGCAGCCGCGGUAAUACGGGGGGUGCGAGCGUUGUUCGGAAUUAUUGGGCGUAAAGAGCGUGUAGGCGGCUGGAUCAGUCAGAUGUGAAAUCCCUGGGCUUAACCCAGGACGUGCAUUUGAAACUGUCCAGCUUGAGUAGGGGAGAGGAAAGUGGAAUUCCUGGUGUAGAGGUGAAAUUCGUAGAUAUCAGGAGGAACACCGGUGGCGAAGGCGACUUUCUGGCCCUAUACUGACGCUGAGACGCGAGAGCGUGGGUAGCAAACAGGAUUAGAUACCCUGGUAGUCCACGCUGUAAACGAUGUUCACUAGGUGUUGGGGGUAUUGACCCUCUCAGUGCCGCAGCUAACGCAUUAAGUGAACCGCCUGGGGAGUACGGUCGCAAGA
rnacentral:rRNA from 1 species